ACUGUUGUUUAGGAUAAGGCUAAAGAAGGUGCUGUGUACAGUAAGCAAGUGUGUUUAAAGAUAAAUAUUAAGUAAAUCACACAGAAAUGACAAAAAUCUGUGCGGAGGAUGGACUCAUAACUAAUUUUUAGAAAGCAGGAGCUCAACAAGAGAGAGAAAUGUGUAUCCACAUGUGCUCCUCAUGGGGAGAAGGGAGGGGAAUUCCUGCUGGCUUUGAGGACAAGGAAGGCCCCAGAGAGGAAGUGGCAUGUGCCCUCAAGGAUGUCUAGGAGUUUUUGCAAACUUACAUCAAGUAGAGACCACCCCAUGAGGAGGAAAAGGUGCACCAAGACACAUAAGUGACUGACGUAGACAGGGCCCAAGGAGCAGAAAUGGGGUGAAUGCUGAACAGUAGGUCUGGAAAUGCAUGAUGGGGAGUUAAGAAGUGGAUUUUGUUCUUUUAGCCAUUGUAACCUCUGCAGAUAAGAUAUCAAAAAGAGCUUUCCUCCUAGCAGAGAUCUUCAUAGAGAGGGUGAGAUCAAUUCGUGGAUCAGGAGAUUGAUUUGCUGAAAUAUGGCUGGCAUUUAAAAUAAUGACAGACAGUACUUCAUCUCAGAGUGCAUCUUCUGGAUUAAGCACAAGCAGUGAAUGGUGAAACUUUGUUACCUAAGUGUGUGUUGAGUCAUGAUGUAAAGUGGGUCAGAAAAGUCUGAAACUAGUUGUUCCUGUGUGAUGAGACUUUCAGCCACUGCAGACCUUCACGAACAAUCUGUUUCUGGUCACCUCUCAAGACAGUGCAUACAGAGGUCACACGUAUAGGUUUUACUCUGACCUUUGCUUUGCCCAUCAAACCAUUUUCCAGUCUUUCAGGCUUCAGUGAAGAGGUGUCAACCAUUGACAGAGGAUGUGGGGUGUUUCCCAGUUGAGGGUGAGGCCAGUCUGGGUCGUGACCCUUUGCUGAUCAGGUUGACCAGUUGGGAGACUGCGCUAACCCGGGCCGCGUUACUUGUGAUGGGGCUGUGUGUGGCAGGGUGGUGCUGAGGCCCCAUGCUCCUCAUGGCCGUCUUGGAAUAGUGACAGCAUCUGAAGUUCCUGGCACGAAGGGCGUGUGGGAUGGUGCAGAAUCAAGGCUGUGCAGGAGGAUGUGGGAUGGUGCCACUUCAAAGUAAAAGGCAUGGCUUUGGCGACACACAUUUAAAUGAGCUGUGGGAAAAUAGGCACACAGCAGCUAUUUUUAAUUCAUGUUAAAACUUUCAGAGCCAGAGUUGCUCAUAGGUACUGGCUUCGGAUGUUGGAGAGGAAGGCUUUCUCAGCUGACCGCUAACUUCCUUGGUGACAGCAAGAAGGUGGGAAAGAGCCCAGGGAAAGUGGCAGGUAGCAGGGCCGGCCCGUUUUUCACUGUUUUAUCAUCACUCUCUCCAGACUCAGUUCAGCUUUGAGGUUUCCAGCCUUGUUCCUGUCCACACCACCCUCAGUCAGCUCCUUCAUGUAAUACUUCUCCUUCCCUUAAGGCCUGCUCUCAGGAAAAGAUCUAGAUGUCCCUUUCUUUGUAGACUGAUAGUAGCUUGAAUUCACCUUUACAGAAGUGUUUGUACUCUAGUGAGGCUGUUUCUCAACGCAAGGGGGGAGGCCUGAGCUGGACUCUGGCGUUAGUCUGCAGGUAUGGCCUCUUUCUGGGCAGGGGUCUUCCUGGCCCAGUGAAAGCAGAGUGUAUAGGCGGCUACCUUUCUGCGUUUUGUUUUAAUUUUUUGGCCACACCCAUGGCAUUUGGAAGUUCCCAGGCCAGGGAUUGAACCUGUGCCACAGUAGUGACAAUGCCAGAUCCUUAACCACCAGGCCACCAAGGAACUCAGCAUCAGGUUUUUAAAGCUGGGGAGAACCUGGUUAAGUUUUAUUCUCUUAGAGAUAAAGAAACUGAGACCCAAAGGGAUGAAAUCCUUCUCAAUGUGGCACUCGACUGCUGCAGCUGAUCAGCAUGCCAUGCAAGGUCAGCUUUGCCAUACUUAUUUGUUAAGGCUGGCAGAGGCAUUUCUCUUCUCUCUCUCUCUCUUUUAACAUUAGGAGGCCGUGGAAUCUACUCAAGCAGCUGGAAAAGCAGCAAAGUAUUCAUUUUAGACUCAUUUAGAGAAGCAAGCUGGGAAAUGCUUGGGCUGCUCCUUGCAACAAAUUUGGAUCCUCUUAAAAGCUUGUCUAAGCUUUAGCAUAUCCCCGUAGUGGGAAGUCUUUAAUAUUCACUGACGCAAGGAGGAGGUUUUGACCCUUCAAAUGUCACCGUACUUUUAACCGUAUAACGUAUAACCAAAUAACAAAGUAAAAAUACCUCCAAGUAAAGGGGAAUUAUUUGAGGUUCAAGUUUAGGGGACCAGCUGCUUUGGUGAAAUAAUCCACUCUGCGUUUUAGACUCUCUGGAAAAGAGGCAUGAGGGAUGGGGGCAUUAGAGGUCUGCAAGUCCGAGCCCUACAGUCCACUGCUCUGCCUGGGUUCUCUUGGGAGAUGACUCAGGAGCUGGUCAGGGACCUUGGGCAGAGAACUGGUGAGAGGCACAGAUCACCUGUGCUGGGGUGUCAGCCCUUACUAGCUGAGGGAAGACAGGCAAGUUAAUUGACCUCCCUGUGCCUCAGUCUCCUGAUCUGUAAAAUGGGGACCAUAAUAGUAUCUCCUUCCCAGAGUUGUUAUGAAGAUGAAUGGAAAUGCACAUUAAAGCACCCAGCAGCUGACAUAUAACAAGCUCAAAUAAAGGUUAGAUGUCAGUGGCAGUGCUGUCUAAGGCUGCAUUAAUUAGUUUAAAAUUGAAGCCACUUUCGAAUCUUACUGCUCCUAAGAUAGCUAAAAGGCAGUCUUUUUUUAGGCUUCAGUUUAUUAUGAGCUUGAAAGUUCCUGGCAGAAUCACCCAGGCCUUUUUUUUUUUUUUUUUUUGACUCUUCUUCCCAUGGUUAUGUGAUGAUCUUGUUACACACAAGAAAAAGAUUGCUUUCACAAUCUAGAUUCACCGGAGAACUCCCUAUAGCCUCCGCCUUUCCUCUUCCUCAGGAGGAUCCACCAUGAGAGUCCCUAUAUCUCAACCCGGAGAACUCCUCAAUCCUCUGGAGUUGCUCUUUUCGAAUCUUCAAACCCAGGAUCUUAGCUGUCUAUUUUCUGAAGCUGUAGAGACAGCCACUCAAGGAACAGAUUUUCUAGAGGAUACUUUAUUCAAUUAGUUAGUCAAUUCCCUUGUAGAUGGGAAAUUAUCCCUAAACCAUCCCCACCAACCGAGGAGCCUCUACAGUGAGAAGCAAAGAUGAUGUUGAGAUGUAACAAUAGGAUACCUCAUUUGCAAUGCAAAUGAGCAACCAGCAGGCAAAUAAACCCUUAUGGGAAAACCACUCUAAUCAUAAAAACCCCUUGCUUUGGGGAGACUGCAGUGUAAGGACAAACAGAAUCAUAUCUUCCAGGCUCUUCUCCAAUACAGGAUAUUAAAGAAUUAUCCAGGUAGUUCUCUAUGAAAUUGCAUUUGAAUAUGGCAAAAUGCAUUGCUGGACAAUAGAUAAUAUCUUUAAAACUCCACAAUUGUGGACUGAAUUAUUUAUGGUUGUCACUAUAGCUAUGAUAGUUUGGAAAUAAAAUCGUCAGGCUUUUCUCUGUUUUUAUUUGUAGGAAAACAAGUCAUUCAAGCUUUUUAGUGAUACAAUGUGACUGGCUGUCGAUGGCAGUUACAAUUUUUCAAGCCCUGCCAAACACAGGAGUACCCAGAAGGGACAUAUGUUUUCUGUGCUUUGUGUUCCAAAUUCGCUUUAAAAACAUGCGAUUAUGUGAAGGCCUGAUUUAUAUUUCCAAGGAAAAGCACAAUAAUGGCUGUUUUGUAGCUGUGUUUCUCGAAAACGUGUUUCUAUUGCUGCCUUUUCAAAAGAAUUUGGCUAAUGAUCACUGGAUUUUCACUUUCCGUCAUGACGUAUUAAAAUUUGAUGAGGUCUGUGAAAUUUAAGAACUGAUUUCUUAAGUGCAGUGGAAAUGUAGUUAACAUCGUUUGGUACUGCAACCCUGGAAACAUCUUCUGUGGCUACCUUUAAUCCACUUCCUUAUUUUUGUGGACAAUGGGAGAAGAAGAAGCAGGGGUAUUUGUAGCCAGGAGGCAAAGAGGGGAUAGAAUGACCAGGAUAACAAAGAGCAAACCUUGGAAGGUACGUAGGCCUAUAGGUAUGCAUGAGUGUAAGUAGAAGACAAGGUGUUGCGGACAUUUCCAGGGGACAGAGGGAUGACUCUGGAGAGGAAAGGAAAUUGUGAAGGAGGAAAGUGAGGAGUUUUGGUCACAUUUUAUGCUCAACUGAAAAUUGCUGUAAAGCCCUUUAUAAAUUGUAUAAUCACUGGCUUUGAAUUCAUGCCCUUCAUUGCUAUUAUUAAUGAUGGCUUUCACUCCACUCUCUCAGAAGCAUUUCUAGUAAAUUUAUGAAAAGAAGAUGAAUUAGUCUCUUUCUGGACUGGGGAGCCCCUCCUGGGAGGUCAACAAUUUUUUUACUUGUUCUUUUUUAGUAAUGGAGGUGGAGAAAGGUGAAAGGCCAAUUUCACCUAAUAAAGGAGUUCAUGAACAAAUAAUGAUCAUAGUAUGGAAUUUCAGGGUAUUUCAAAGCUAAGAGAAAAAUAUUAGGGGGCAGCGAAAAGAUAGAAGUUGGAGUUCCUACCAUGGCACAGUAGGUUAAGAAUCCAAGUUCAAGAGUUCCUGUUGUGGCGCAGUAGAAACCAACCCAACUAGUAAAACCAUGAGGAUGCAGGUUCAAUCCCUGGCCUUGCUCAGUGGGUUAAGGAUCUGGUGUUGCCAUGAGCUGGGGUUGUAGGUCGAAGACUCAGCUCGAUUUCUGCAUUAAUGUGGCUGUGGUGUAGGGCAGCAGCUGUGGCUCCAAUUGGACCCCUAGCCUGGGAACCUCCAU
ensembl:lncRNA